CUUUAAAUUACAAUGAAAAGUUGAUUUAGUGUAUCUUUUUAAAUUUUGAUAAAUAUAUAUCGCUGGAGAACAUAUAAUUUAUAUGCAAUAUCUAAUCAUAGUGGCUCAACUUCUUCAGGUCAUUAUACAGCUUUUUGUAAAAAUCCUUAUUCAGGACAGUGGCAGGAAUUUAACGAUA